CUUAGGGCAAAGAGGGAGGCACGCACGCACUAGUGGCAGUUCUCCAUCGGAACUACUGCUAAGAUUGUAGCCAUUCAGAAGCUUUACGGAUGGGUAAGACCCUUGAAAAUUAUCUUGCAUUUGGUUUCAACGGUUGAGAAAGUGUUCUAAAGGCUCAGGCAUGACCUCUCCUUUAGAGUUUGAUAGCAGAUCUUGAUUCAAGGGUGAGCACUAUGUCUCCAGGCUGCCAUAAGUCAUCUUAUUUAUCAUGUCCAUC